rnacentral:rRNA from 1 species
AAACAUGGCGCGUGCUAUACAUGCAGUCGAACGAACUCUGGUAUUGAUUGGUGCUUGCAUCAUGAUUUACAUUUGAGUGAGUGGCGAACUGGUGAGUAACACGUGGGAAACCUGCCCAGAAGCGGGGGAUAACACCUGGAAACAGAUGCUAAUACCGCAUAACAACUUGGACCGCAUGGUCCGAGUUUGAAAGAUGGCUUCGGCUAUCACUUUUGGAUGGUCCCGCGGCGUAUUAGCUAGAUGGUGGGGUAACGGCUCACCAUGGCAAUGAUACGUAGCCGACCUGAGAGGGUAAUCGGCCACAUUGGGACUGAGACACGGCCCAAACUCCUACGGGAGGCAGCAGUAGGGAAUCUUCCACAAUGGACGAAAGUCUGAUGGAGCAACGCCGCGUGAGUGAAGAAGGGUUUCGGCUCGUAAAACUCUGUUGUUAAAGAAGAACAUAUCUGAGAGUAACUGUUCAGGUAUUGACGGUAUUUAACCAGAAAGCCACGGCUAACUACGUGCCAGCAGCCGCGGUAAUACGUAGGUGGCAAGCGUUGUCCGGAUUUAUUGGGCGUAAAGCGAGCGCAGGCGGUUUUUUAAGUCUGAUGUGAAAGCCUUCGGCUCAACCGAAGAAGUGCAUCGGAAACUGGGAAACUUGAGUGCAGAAGAGGACAGUGGAACUCCAUGUGUAGCGGUGAAAUGCGUAGAUAUAUGGAAGAACACCAGUGGCGAAGGCGGCUGUCUGGUCUGUAACUGACGCUGAGGCUCGAAAGUAUGGGUAGCAAACAGGAUUAGAUACCCUGGUAGUCCAUACCGUAAACGAUGAAUGCUAAGUGUUGGAGGGUUUCCGCCCUUCAGUGCUGCAGCUAACGCAUUAAGCAUUCCGCCUGGGGAGUACGGCCGCAAGGCUGAAACUCAAAGGAAUUGACGGGGGCCCGCACAAGCGGUGGAGCAUGUGGUUUAAUUCGAAGCUACGCGAAGAACCUUACCAGG